rnacentral:ncRNA from 2 species
GCAGAGUAGCACCAAAAGCGUUAAGUGCCGUAUAACGGGAUGUUGAAUACGGACGAAAAGGCUUUUCGCCUUGCGGUUUUUGGGCGCAUCCA